ACAAUAGGUUGCUAAGCCGCGAGGUGGAGCCAAUACCUCAAAAGUUGGUCUCAGUUCAGAUUGCAGGCUGCAACCCGCCUGCAUGAAGAUGGAGUUGCUAGUAAACGCAGGUCAGCUAUACUGCGUUGAAUACGUUCCCGGGGCUU
rnacentral:rRNA from 1 species